rnacentral:rRNA from 1 species
GACGAACGCUGGCGGCGUGCCUAAUACAUGCAAGUAGAACGCUGAAGGAGGAGCUUGCUUCUCUGGAUGAGUUGCGAACGGGUGAGUAACGCGUAGGUAACCUGCCUGGUAGCGGGGGAUAACUAUUGGAAACGAUAGCUAAUACCGCAUAAGAGUAGAUGUUGCAUGACAUUUGCUUAAAAGGUGCAAUUGCAUCACUACCAGAUGGACCUGCGUUGUAUUAGCUAGUUGGUGGGGUAACGGCUCACCAAGGCGACGAUACAUAGCCGACCUGAGAGGGUGAUCGGCCACACUGGGACUGAGGCACGGCCCAGACUCCUACGGGAGGCAGCAGUAGGGAAUCUUCGGCAAUGGACGGAAGUCUGACCGAGCAACGCCGCGUGAGUGAAGAAGGUUUUCGGAUCGUAAAGCUCUGUUGUAAGAGAAGAACGAGUGUGAGAGUGGAAAGUUCACACUGUGACGGUAGCUUACCAGAAAGGGACGGCUAACUACGUG